rnacentral:rRNA from 1 species
UACGUAGGGCGCAAGCGUUGUCCGGAAUUAUUGGGCGUAAAGAGCUCGUAGGCGGCCUGUCGCGUCCGCUGUGAAAUCCCGGGGCUUAACCCCGGGCGUGCAGUGGAUACGGGCUGGCUGGAGGCAGGCAGGGGAGAACGGAAUUCCUGGUGUAGCGGUGAAAUGCGCAGAUAUCAGGAAGAACACCCGUGGCUAAGGCGGCUCUCUAGUACGGUACUGACGCUGAGACGCGAAAGCGUGGGGAGCGAACAGG